rnacentral:lncRNA from 1 species
AUGAUCAUGGAUAAGCAAGAAAAAAGAAGGAUGUGCAGCGAUGCACAGAAGUCAGCAACUGUAAAUAAAGUUUUGAAAGCCUGCCCCCAGAGUUCAGAAGAAAGAAGCAUAUUGAAGAAGAUGCUGAUGCAGCGUGACCAGGAGAUCAGUAACCUUGUAAGGAUGUUGAAGAACAAUAAUCCUGCUUGGUUUGCUGAUAUCAAGGGUGGCCUAGCCCUGCCAUGCCAAAGUGAAAUAAAUGUGUAUAAACCUCAGGGAAAUGUCAACACCAUGCCUGUAGAGAGUGAAGCACAGACAGUUCUACAGCAAAUGAAGACAAAUGAAGAGCCUUUCGAGACAUUUAUGGGAAGUGAAGACAAUCUGACCAUUGACAAGAAUAUUAUAUCUAGACUAAAACAGAGGGUGACUGAGGCCAGAAGACUUGGUGAGCAACUGAAAGUGUCCAAAAACAGAAAUCAUGAGACUUAGUAACACAGUGGUUAUAGACUUUUUUUUGGUCUUUUUUUUUGCAUCCCUAGGUAUGUGUUCAUAAUAGUAUGGCCCUCGGAGGACUUUAUAAAAAUUGAAAUGGCCCUCGAUAUGAAAAGGGUUCCCCACCCCUGGUCUAAACUUUAGACUUUAGACUCUAAACCAUAUAACAUUUCUUAUCUAACAUUUGACUUGGCAGCGGCAGCACCCCCUUUUGGUCAAAGAUGGUGUGGUUUGUUACAUUGCCUGUAAUUUAAUCGACAAAAUAUUUUUUAACUCCUUGACAGCACCAGCAAAAUAUGAACACAGUUGAUAUUCUAUGUUGAUGAAAUAAGCUCGACAAAUGUAACAAAUGAAAAGUCUUGCAGUUGGUUCUUUAAAUAUGAAUCCGUAAAAUAUAGAUGUCUGUCCAAAUUUCUAACAUUUUACCUUCUUUAUGGCCCUGUUUAAACCUUAAAGUAAAACCUUAAUUUCCAAACAGGAUAAGGCAGCUCUCAAUUGUGAAAACAGCUAUGUCAAGCAACUUUCUUUACCUUUUGUGACACAAACCUAUAUAGUGGGACCUCUACUUACGAACGUCUCGACAUGCGAAUUUUUCAGGUUACGAAGCGUCUCAACGGGAAAUAUUUCCUCUUGUUACGAAGGGAAUUUCAGGAUACGAAGGUCAAAAAUACGCUACCACUGCUACUCGCAGCUCGCGGAGUUUAGCGAACACAAACUUGCUUGUAGCUGCUCUGCCAUUGGCUAUUGCCUAGCAUUUUCCUGUCAUCCCAUUGGCUAGGAGGGACGUCAAUCUGUACAAGUUUGUGUGUAUCCCUGCGUCGCCUUCGUUUAACUUUUAUUUAUUGUGGGUGUUCGUAUGUUUGUCCAUUAGAUGACGGUGUUACCACAAUUGUUAACAUUCGUUGCUAGUAAUGACGGCUAAUGUAAGAUUAGCCUGUAAUAAAGUUCAUUUUGUUCCUGGAGAAGCCUUGCACUGAAUUCCUACAUUUGUUGUGCGGUUAUCUAAUUGUAACAUGUAUUUGUUACAUGUUUUGAUGCAUUUUUAUGAUUUAUAAAAAAACUUAUGUCUGAAUUUUGGGGGGCUUGGAACGGCAUUUACAUGGAAAAUGUGUCUCUACUUAUGUAAUUUUCAGGUUAUGAAGCAGCUUCUGGGACAAAUUAAAUUCGUAAGUAGAGGUCCCACUGUAAUUAUGAUGCAAAUCAUCCUGCAUAUAUUGUCCUGUAUUUUAUUAUAAUCAACAACUGAGACUAAGCUGUAUUUUCACAGAUUCUUUUUUGUUUUUAUUUAAUCUAUGUCCAAGGUGUACAUGUUCUAUGUCAUAGGUGUACAUGCUGGCUGGUAUGUCCAAGACUGAAUCCUCUGCAUCAAUAAUUUUGGUUAGGUGAUUACUAGUGAUGGGCAAAUGAUACCGAGGCCUCGGAGCUUGUGUCACUCUUCCCGAAGCGGACUGAUUCGAAACACUGUGUCGGAGCUUGUAUCAAAACACCAGUGUCACGUGACCCAUGACGUUAGAAGCUUCGAACGUCAUCGCUGUUUUGCUUCGCGCUUCAUUGCUUCAAAAUGUUUCGAAGCCUUUCAAUGGCUCAGCCUUUCAGUGUGUGGCUCAUGGUGUUUCAAUGCAUUCUGAGACAGAUUUGAGUGGUUUGAUGGCAUAUCAGCUAUAUAAGAUGCAUUAAUAUGCUUCAAAAUUGUUGGGUUGUGAGGAGAUAGAGAUUUGGAGAGUGAGAGUUAGAGUAUUUUGGCAAGUUUCAUGGCGAGUACCACCAAUAAGCGACGUUCUAGAGUUUCUGAGGACAAAUAACUUUUCUGCUUCUGUGAAAAAUCAUUCCAAAUCAAACAUAUGACAAAUGACAAACCAUUAUCUUUAAAGGUUUUCCUUAAAAACACUUCACACACACAAAAAUAAAUGUUUCUGAAUUCAAACACCAUGAUGAUUUGCAAAGUGGGAAGGAUCUCUAAUCCUGUUAGGGACUUUUAGUAGUUUUUAAAUAAAUCUCAAAGUGUUCAAUGACCCCUUAACCAACACUGAACCCUUAAUAUAAUUUGCAUUUAUUCUUUGGGUUAAUCUUGAAUGUGUUUUAGAGUAAGGGGGAGACCAUCUGCAUAUUUUAUUGUAAAGACGAUAUAAUCAUUAUUUGGUAUGAAUGAACAAAACCCCUGGACGAGCACACAAUUAACUUUUAUUAGUGUCAUGGGAUUGAAACAGUGCCAGUGCUUCGGUCGUGCUCUUUGGAGGUUGCUAUGGCUUCAGUUGUCCACCAGAUGUCACCGUCACUGAAGUCUCGAAGCUUUGAAUCUUUUUCGACACAAUUGUUAGGAAAGCCUCAGUGCUUCAUGAGGCUUCACUUUCCCACCCCUAGUGAUUACUUUCUUCAGGAAUCCUCCUCUCCCUCCCACACUCUGUGCUGAGUCAGCAUCCACCAUUAAUAUCAAAUAGAUUUAGUUGUAAAAUUACAAGCAUGUCAAGGAAAACAUAACAAUAACCAAAUCAAUAUAAAGAUUGGCAAUUGAAUGUUUAAACAUUUUGAGGCUGUGUAAGAAUAAAUCUAAUUUUGCUGAGUUCAAUUGUCACAAUAUAGAAUUAUUUUCACAAUAAAACAUAUUUUAAUGACAUUUAAAGUUUAAUGUUUCACUAUCCAUUCAUUACUAAAAGUGCUAUUUUUUUCCUUCCCCCUGUUUGUAGUGAACAAUCACAGCUUUUAGCAGACUGCAUCAUAGGUGUCGUGGUGGUUGCUAGGCAACCAGGACAACUACGCCUCCCAACUAAAAAGUUUCAGUUCCCUCCUCACUCAGAAUUGUUCUCAGAGACUUUCUGAAUCACUUUAAGCUAAGAAUUGUAUGUACAACUUGGUGCUGGUGCUCGCAG